CCAGACAUAUCCUCUCUGACGCUAUGGGGUUUCUUCUCCUUAGAGCUCUUCUCUGAGGUUCCCAUUCUGGGCCGGAGCCCUCUCAGGAGUGAGUGGAUGGGCCUGGCUGUCAAAGAAAGGUUCCAGUCUCUUCCUCCCCAUGUGCCCUGCUUUGCCAGGUGGGUCAGGGCAGGCUGGAGGAAGGAGGGUCAGUCCUGGCU
rnacentral:lncRNA from 1 species